CCAAAAUCCUCAAAAUCAAAAUCCUCAAAAUCUGAAACCAAAAUCCCUAAAAUUUUGAAACCAAAAUCCUCAAAAUCCCUGUUCACAUUCAGCAUUGCCGGAGUGAACGAGGGUGAACGAUGGCCUUCGCCAGAGUGACGAGCAGUAGCGAGUUUCGUGCUCCAGAUCUCACUCCACUCUCAACUCUCUCCUUCUUCCAUUUCCUCCUCCAGAUAAAAAAAAGGAAAAAAAAAACGAAAAAGAAAACACAGAAGAAGAGAAGAAAAAGAGAAAGAGAUCUUGAAGAUUUAUUUAUACUAGCAAAAAAAUGCUAAAUUGAAGGCGGAGUAGUUGAUGUCAAUCAUCCAUUUUCCAUUAUCCUCCAAUUGUGUCUCAGGAUGGUAUACUGCAUAUCGGACCAAGUCUCAGAGCUGAAAAUGAUCUUGUCUACCUCAUCCAACUCAAGUUGAACUUCUGGAUUCAAUGCUAGAGAUGAUCGGAUUGAUACAUUGUCCGUUUCCUCUGAUACUACCUCCACCGACUCUGAUUUUACCUUUCCAGCUCCUACUUCAACUCCAGCAAACUUUUCUUCCCUCCAUCCCCAUGCUUUCCAGUUGAUAGUUCAGGAUCUUUCAGCGGCUAAAGUCUCAGGAGCUGAAAACUGGGGAAGUGAUCGGGAGAGGGCAUUCAAUGACUUCUUCUGAUGGACCUUGCUCUUCCAAUUUGUUGUACCGAUGUUCCUGCUAGCUAGUUGUUAGUUUAAUUAAAUGUGGGCGCUUUGGCCAUAUACUGUAGGUACCUCACAUCAAUAGAUUGUUACUUGUGCUUUAUACAAAAUGAGAUUGAUAAUAUCCUGACAUGUCAUAUUCUUCCUUCUAUAGUUUACGGACUCACCCCUACCCCUUUAAAAUCUGAUAUUCCAUUUUUUCUUUAAGCCUAGUGGACUUCUUAAUUGAUGCACAAUGGUUAUUGAGCCCUUAUAAUUUAGGAUUGAAGACUAUUUCAUCUAGUCUGUUUUUCAGAUAAUCUUUUCACUACAUGAUUAUAUAUUCAUGAGCAUGUUUUUCAGAGAACUGUGGAAGGAGAGAUUGAAAUUAUAGAAGAAUAUAUUCAUGAGCAUAUAUUUACCAAAAUGUUUUAGACCUUGUUGGAGUUAAGGUUUCUGUAGCUGAGUGUUCAAAUCAGAUGGUACUUCUAAUUUGUAAAUCUCUAAGUUCAUGGCAUAUGAAUUCCAUUGUCUGGGUAUCAACUAUGGUGGCUUUGAUUGCUGCAAAUAUCAUGUCCAGGCAACUAAUUUUUUAAAAGGCUAAUGAGAAAAUCGUAGUUGUGAAUCACAACAAGCCCAGGUGUAGGUAUCAAGAGAUGCCUUGAUCUACAAAGGAAAAACUCAAGCUGUAUCUCCUUUGCUAGCAGUAACUCAAAGCCCACCAGUAUUUUGCCCACAACUUACUUAGCUAAGAAAAAGGGCAUACUUUUAUUAAUAAAGUAAGCUACGUCGAGUCUCUCUACAAGUAAAUUUGAAGUCCAAUGGAUAAAGUAUAGUUUGCUUAGACGGGAGCAAUAUAUAUAUUUACUGGUCUUGCCUUGUGUGAUUCAUAGAUCAUCAAAUCUGCUUUAGUAUAUGAACUAUAGAAACCUUAUGGGGUGAAUGGUUUGAGAAUAGUUCAUCAUUAUGUUUGAGGGAGUUGUCAUUGAAGAAUAGUUUUGAGUUGUAUCGAAUUCUUGUCUGAACAUUUGGAGUUGUUGAUAUCUUAUUCACAAGGAAUAGUGAAGGAUAUUAUUGAUUAAUAAUCUGUAAAUUUUUGUCCUUUAUAUAUAUAUAUAUAUAAGCAUUUUAUUACCAAAAAGAAGAAUAUACUGUAAGGCUCAAUACAUGAACUAAAAGAGCACACAAGGACACGAUCGAGUAAGCCAACUACCCAUACAAAGGCAAUACAUCCACGAAGUCUAUAAAGAAAGCCACUCACAAGCCCGAGAGUCUAGGCAAAAAAUUGAAGAAAAACACCCUUUCACAACGUGAGAGGGGUUGGUUCAAAAGAAACUUGUCAUUUCAAGUGCAAAGAAAGAGCUCACCCUCAUAACUCGAGAGGAUAGAUAACCACAAACAACCCACAAGAUAUUGGCUAAACUAGAACAUUGGUGCUACAAGGCAACUAAUGAGGUUCAGCUUGAGAUGAGCUCAAGCAUACAUGACAAAGCUAAUUUGCAUCCCAUGCUCGGAGUGCCCAAAUGCUUCCAGCAUUGUUUGUUAUGUCAAUUACAUUUAACAAAGGAAUAUCAUACAUCAGAAGCCAAAGAAGACACUUGAUGAAAUAAGUCAUGACCUGUGCUCAG